ACCCUUUGGUACUCUUUCAUAAUUGACUCAUUCCAUUCGGAGACAUCAGCAAGUAACCACCACCGUCGGUUUGCCUAUGAUUAACAUCGUCACCUCCCUCUCUCUUUCCGUUAUACCACAGUCGCAAAGCCACCCUGCCGCACAUCGGUUUGAAUCGUAAUCAGUUGCCGCCAACCAGCCGCAACCCGGUUUGUCUCCAUCAACACGUCACCAACUAUACUAAGUUAUCGAGCAAACGGUCCUAGCUCCAAAUUCAGUUAAUUGGUGAAACAGUAGGAGAAGUGAAAGCAGUGGCUGAUAUGCACCAGAGGAAAGCAGAAAUGGCUAAGCAUUCUGAUGCUUUUAUUGCUUUACCAGGUAUGACACCACACCACUGCGCAACUUUUUGCAUUGCUGCUUCUGUGAAUGCAUCGAGAACCGAUAACUAAAAUCCUGCAUCAGUCCUCGUAUUGGUCAAGUACAGGAAGUGAUGAUUUAGAAAGACCUAAGACACCGGUAUAUAAGUUGGACUCCUCAAUAUACUCAUCAAAAUUUGGCUGACUCAUCCGAAAUCAUGGAACGAGUCAGACCAAGAUUUCAUGGAGGCACAAGAAUGUGCAGAGGACAAGUUUAUUUGGACAUAUACGUCACCAAUUUUUCCCAUGGCAAGGGCAUACGCCAUUGAGCAGGAGAGCAGACGGAUUCGCAGGUUAUCAACACGUUUUUUCAAUUACCCUCUCUACACUGGUACCACCACAUAGCCCAUGUUUGGCCAGUUUACCUGGUCAUAGUUUAGCCGAGUCAGGACUCAGGACCACGAGCUCCUGCCCCUUAUCUUAUGUCAAAUCCAUUGAUGCCUGCAUCAUUACACAACCGACCCGACACUGGUGAACCAUCUGUUGAGCCGUUGCCACUGUCCACUACUCAAACAGUUGACAAAAACUGACCUCUAUAGAAAUACAAUUAAACAAUUGACUUUGCCCUUAUCAAGUAUAUAGAGAUUUUCCUAACCCCACCCCUAAAGAUGAUGUUCAUAUGCAGUAGUUGAACUAUUUAUAUAAGCAUCAAGUUUUUUUUUUUAUUAUAUAUGCUUAUAUAUAGUCAAGUCAAUUUAGAUGGAAAUGUUAUUAUUGAUUCAAAUAUGCAUGCUUACAAGUGUUGGUGAUUUUAGUUUAAUUAAUUUCAUUUUAGUAUAAUAAAAGAUGUGGUCCGUGUGGGGUACGUGCUUGACGUGGGUUCAAAGGGAAAACGCACCAUGGGACAAAAGUUCAUAGUAGGAAGCAGGAACUAAUAAUCGCUAGAAAUUAUUCUCUUAGUAUUAACCGGUGAUGUUAGUAGUAACCACGAAUAAUAGUAAGUUUGGCUAUCAACUUUAACUACCCUGAUGACCCAAAUUGAUACCGUCCGAAACAUAGGUACCAAGGUUUGUUUUUUUAUGGUUUUGAUCCAUGUAAAACCGGUGUUGAUUGUUAUAUCAAAUGUGUGUAUAUCAAAACGAUACCAGUCAAAAGCCCGCCACGUAGCACGGGGAUUAUAAUUGAAUCUGAUGAGUCAGGACACCCGCUGCAACGCGCGGGCAUUCCCACUAGUCACUUUUAAAAUUCAAUGUUUUCUGUGUUUCUACGUCCAAUAUGGCUUCUUUUCUAAGGAACUUCCUUUAAACUAACUCUGUGAUAACAAUCGGAAUCCCAUCAUUCGUCAAGCAACAGAGGUUAGUUAAAUGUUAUAGUUGUUUUAUCUUUUUUAAGUUUGUAAUCUUUGAUUUUAUCCUUUUUGUUCAGUUUUUUUAAAUUAAUAAUAUAUGUUCUGAAUGUUUUAUUGUUUGUAUUUUCUCAUGGUGAACCCUUCAAUCUUUUGUGACAUUCGGACUCGGACUUUUCGUCGACCAAAACAGGUUAGUUAAAUGUUAUUGGUAUUGUUUGUUUUUUUGAUAUGUAUAGUCUUUCUUAUUCUUAUUAAAUUUUUUUUUUAGUGUUAAUUUUGAAACUUUAUGUGAU